rnacentral:rRNA from 1 species
GACGAACGCUGGCGGCGUGCUUAACACAUGCAAGUCGAGCGGUAAGGCCCUUUCGGGGGUACACGAGCGGCGAACGGGUGAGUAACACGUGGGUGACCUGCCUUUAGCUCUGGGAUAAGCCUGGGAAACCGGGUCUAAUACCGGAUAUGACUCCGCGGCGCAUGUUGUGGGGUGAAAGCCUUGUGCGGCUGGAGAUGGGCCCGCGGCCUAUCAGCUUGUUGGUGGGGUNAUGGCCUACCAAGGCGACGACGGGUAGCCGGCCUGAGAGGGCGACCGGCCACACUGGGACUGAGACACGGCCCAGGACUCCUACGGGAGGCAGCAGUGGGGAAUCUUGCGCAAUGGGCGAAAGCCUGACGCAGCGACGCCGCGUGAGGGAUGACGGCC